rnacentral:rRNA from 1 species
CCGACGGGUGAGUAACACGUAUGCAAUCCACCUGUAACGAGGGGAGUAACCCGGAGAAAUCCGGACUAAUACCCCAUAAUAUGGGCGCUCCGCAUGGAGAGUCCAUUAAAGAGAGCAAUCUUGGUUACAGACGAGCAUGCGCUCCAUUAGCCAGUUGGCGGGUAACGGCCCACCAAGGCGACGAUGGAUAGGGGUUCUGAGAGGAAGGUCCCCCACAUUGGAACUGAGACACGGUCCAA